AAGAGCGAAUCGCCUAGCGUGGUACGGGCAUGUGAUGCGGAGGGAUGAAAGUCAUGUGACGAAAAAGGUAUUACGAAUGAAUGUGGAGGGAGGUAAUGGGAGAGGAAGACCGAGAAAAGGGUGGAUGGACUGUGUGAGAGAUGAUAUGAAGCGAACGCAAGUGAAUGAUGAGAUGACGGGCGAGAGAGAGGUAUGGAAGAAAAAGACAUGCUGCGCCGACCCCAAAUGAAUGGGAUAAGGGCAAGCGAAUGAUGAUGAUGUCUCUCGCGCAAACUAUUCAGUUUAGAAAAAAUAUAUAUUAGAAACCUCAAUAUCAUUUUUAAAGAC